AUUGCUUCUGGCCUAUCGGCUAAGAUGUAGUAGUUAUAAACUGUUCUUUUGAGUUUAAUGGCUUGAAUGGGGUAAUGUAUCCUCAAGCUAUAAACCCAUUCUUUUAAACUAGGAGUGGUGUGCGAAGCUUGCUUCCCUCACUCCACGGGUUGCCCUGGUAUUGCAGUACAUCCAGGUGUGGCCCAUUUCUC